ACCCCGGGCGCUGCCCGCGCCGCCGCCGCCGGGUGUCUUCCAGGCCGACGACUGAGGAAGGAGGCUUUGAGGCCGAGCCCCAGGGUGGGAGCCGAGCGCGUCGCGAAGGGAGGGGUCCGAGAGGAUGCUGGAGCUCGGAGCCCGGGGCUGCGUGCUCUACGGAGGGGAACGGUCUCUAGGAGACCCGCGUGGGGAUGUCUAGGAAGCCAGGACAAGGUAUUCGUUGGAGGAUCUCCAGGGACGCACCUCCUUGACCCCCGGUAAAGAAGCAUCUCUUACUCCCUUCUUGCCCAGAUCUUUGCCUGACCCCAAAGUGGCACUCCUGAAGCCAUGAAGUCAGUCGCUCAGUCGUGUCCAACUCUGCUCCUCUGUCCGUGGGGAUUCUCCCGGCAAGAAUACUGGAGUGGGUUGCCAUUUCCUACUCCAGGGGAUCUUCCCCACCCAGGGAUCGAACCCGGGUCUCUUGUAUUGCAGGCGGAUUCUUUUACCGUCUGAGCCACGAGGGAACUCCUGAGAUGCGCCGCCGAGUAGUAAAGAGGCCGUCACCGCUCACAGUUUACUGCAGCUGAAUGCUUCCUUCUGGGGCUUUGAAUUGGGCAGGAAAGAAGCAAGGGCAUUGGAAAUUAAGAGCGCAGCUUCAAGGACGAAGAAGCAACGCCUUUCAUUUGCAAAUCAGAACCCGGAUAGCAACUCUCACCAUUGCUGAAGACCCCCAGGAAACCUCCCCCCACCUUUCUGAGAGGAGGUUUCACCCCCAUGAGAUGAUUUUUUCUCCUCGAGAUGCAGAUUGGAUUAACAGAUGGUGAUUUUCAUCGUAAUCUCUUCAGCAAAAUAGACUGAAGUCUUCUGUUUGGAAGACGUAGGCUGCCUUUGAUGGAGGGGCCGGGGGGGUGGGGAAGGAAGGAAGGAAAUCUUAUUUGGUUUGUAAAACUCCCCUGCUAAAUGUACUUAUCAGAUGGAAAUAAAUCAAGUCUCUGUUUAUAAGGUCCUGGAUAA
rnacentral:lncRNA from 1 species